rnacentral:rRNA from 1 species
UACGUAGGGUGCGAGCGUUAAUCGGAAUUACUGGGCGUGAAGCGUGCGCAGGCGGCGCGUUAAGACAGGUGUGAAAGCCCCGAGCUUAACUUGGGAAUUGCGCUUGUGACUGGCGAGCUGGAGUGUGGCAGAGGGAGGUGGAAUUCCACGUGUAGCAGUGAAAUGCGUAGAGAUGUGGAGGAACACCGAUGGCGAAGGCAGCCUCCUGGGCCAGCACUGACGCUCAUGCACGAAAGCGUGGGGAGCAAACAGG